ACAUAUGAUUUUAUUUUCUUCAGAAAAACUUAAUUUUAUAAGCAGGGUCGGGCCUGGUUAGUACUUGGAUGGGAGACUACCUAGGAAGACCAGGUGCUGUAGGCA
rnacentral:rRNA from 1 species